CCACUGUCUUGCUUUCCAGAGGAAGAGAGGAAGAGGAGAGGGAGGAGGAGGAGGAGGAAGCUAUUGGCGGCAGGUGGCGUGAAAGCGACCGACUCUUUACUCCCGCGGACACGUUGAAUGUUCUAAUAACUUUUUGUAAUGCCAGAAAAUCUGGGGAGGAAGGAAGUGUUGGGGCAGCUGAUGUAGACGAGGAGGGCCCUUUGUACGCCCAAGAAGGAGAGGAGGCCGCCCGCUGGUCCUCCUUCCUCAACAACUUCUGCAAGAGGAUUAGGGUGUGGACGGCCACCAGAGACGCUCUCACUCAGUACCGCGACGUGCUUAUAGGUCGGCUGGAGGAGAUGCGUAAGGUGGAUCGUCUUCGUCGGGAGAACGCAGAGCUCAGGUUUCUCCUGCAGGGUGUUGUGAACGAUCUGUAACCUGGGGCCUAGCUGCUGCUUGGGUGCUUCCUGUGCCGUUUCAUCAGUGACAAGUUUUUCGGGUUUUACUGGAAUUCUUAUCAGUUAAUCAUGUCUGUUCCCACCAAUUGUUUGAUAUAUGUUGCUAUUGUUAUAAAAACUGUAAUUUACUUCGUAGUCCAACAGCUCUGGCCAUGCUUUGGAUGAUAAUAACGCCAGUGAAUUUCCUCUUCGUUUUAAAGGCUUGUUGAAUAAUUAAUGCACAUUUGGUUUUCGUUUGUCUGCACAAUAAUAUUAUCUUCUGUCGAUUGUUAUGAUGAUUACUGCGAUA
rnacentral:misc_RNA from 1 species